UUGAACGCUGGCGGCAGGCCUAACACCUGCCAGUCGAGCGGAUGAAGGGAGCUUGCUCCUGGAUUCAGCGGCGGACGGGUGAGUAAUGCCUAGGAAUCUGCCUGGUAGUGGGGGAUAACGUCCGGAAACGGGCGCUAAUACCGCAUACGUCCUGAGGGAGAAAGUGGGGGAUCUUCGGACCUCACGCUAUCAGAUGAGCCUAGGUCGGAUUAGCUAGUUGGUGGGGUAAAGGCCUACCAAGGCGACGAUCCGUAACUGGUCUGAGAGGAUGAUCAGUCACACUGGAACUGAGACGCGGUCCAGACUCCUACGGGAGGCAGCAGUGGGGAAUAUUGGACAAUGGGCGAAAGCCUGAUCCAGCCAUGCCGCGUGUGUGAAGAAGGUCUUCGGAUUGUAAAGCACUUUAAGUUGGGAGGAAGGGCAGUAAGUUAAUACCUUGCUGUUUUGACGUUACCAACAGAAUAAGCACCGGCUAACUUCGUG
rnacentral:rRNA from 1 species